AGUGAGCCAAGACUGCACCACUGAACUCCAGCCUGGGUGACAGAGUGAGACUCUGUCUCAAAGAAAAAAAGGAACUUUAUUUAAAAACAAAAAAGAAAUGGCGGCAGGUGGGAUUUGGCCCUGUUUGUAGUUUCCUGACACCAACAGUAAUAGACUGAUCUAUCUGGGGACAUCAGGACAUGUCAGCCGCAGAGAAGGUGACUUAGGAUUCUUAGUGCCAAGCAUUGUGCCUGGUUCACUUCCUAACCUUUUCCAAGAUGCAACCCAUAGUGCCACUCAACAGUACCUUUAGGAGAUUUGAGGCACAGUAAUAGUGCUAAUAACUAAUCUUUCUACUAGAUGCCUUUUUCUAAGUGCUUUUCACAUCUGACAUUAAUCUGUGGACAGCUGAGUGAGAAGGGCAAUUGAGGCCCUAAGGAAAAGAGCUUGCUCAAGGUCACAGAGCUAGUGGGUGGUGAAACUAGGAUUUGAACCCGGACAGAGUGGUUCUAAGCAUUUGAGCUCAAGUCCUUUACCUUCUCUCUCCCACAUUUCAGUAUUUCUCAGUUUGAGAUCACCUUUGAAGCCUUACUCUUUGGGAACUGCCUCUUCCAAACACUCAUAUUCAGUGACAAGGUUCUGUGUUCUCUUUUUGAGACGUUUACUUUGGAGCAGAGCUACAAGUAAGGGACUGCUAACUCUGCCAGUUUUCUGUUAUAGCUGAAUAGUUCAAGGGUGGAGCAAGAUCAUGCAAGAGGUUUCUUUUUGCUCAUCCCUGGGCUACACCAGAGACUUUCAACUGUAGAAACACUUUAAUAACAGUAGAGAUGAUUUUACUGAGUGUCUGUUUUGUCGAUACUGUGCUAGGUGCAUUAAAUAUAUUAUGUUGGUUAAAAUCUCACAAUGCUGGAAAUUAAGCAGUAUUAUUCCCAUUGCACAGAUGAUGAAAAAUUGGGGUUCAGUUAUGGAUAAGUUAAUGAAAUCUCCAAGUCUCAGUUUCUUCAUUUGGACAUUAUGAUAGUCCUAUCUUAUAGGGUCGUUAUGGAGAUUAAAUGAGUUAACACAUGUUAAGGAUUUAGAGCAAUGUGUGAUCAACUCUAUAAUCAAGUGUUGCUGUUAUUAUCAGAAUAUAGUAGCAAUUGUAGAGGUGAAAUGCUCACUUUUUAUGAGUAUUUGCGAAUUAGUAAUAAGUAUAUAAGAAGUAUUCAGCAUAGUGCUUAGGUGUUAAUGGAUAGAACUUAUGAUUAUUUAUAGGAAGAAGCUAUGUAAAGCUCUGAUCCUUUUAAUUUAAAAAUACCUCCACUAGUGAUGGUUUCAAAAUUAAACAUUAAAAUGUUAAAACUCAGUCUUUUGGUUUUGGUUGUUGUUGUUUGUUUUGUAUAAAACUACUCCCUGCAAAAACAGCUCUAGGUAUUCCUUUGUUUACUGUAAAUUAGGUAGAUUAGAUUGGCACUAGAGGAUAGGUAUGCUUGACACAGUAAAUGAUUUCCAAGGUGCAUUUUACAGCCAUAAAAGCAGUAACUUAGAAAUAUGUACAUGGGAGUAAAAUCAUUUGUUCAUUUAUGUUAAAUUUCAAUGGUAGCAUAAUUGUAAAAAAGCUAUGUUUUACAUAUGCAUUCUAUUAUAUACCACACAUCACUGUGCAUAUUUUUUGUUAUUACAUACUUAUUUCUCUGUGGAGUUAUGUCCAGAACUAUGAGGAUUCUAUGAUAAUGGCAAUUUGUUCAAUGUUAACAUUAACUAUAUAUACAUGAUUUUUCUUUAAGUACUGACCUUAGGCUUUAACCCCUACCUUAAGCUGCAACUGAACUCUAAUGAAAUGCAGAAAGGGAAUAUUCCCCCCACAAAUUAAAUAACCAAUAAUUAACCUUUUCAUUUUUUUUUUAGCUCGCUAAUCUGUGUGUUAGUAGAAACUAAACCAGUGUUAUCCAAUUCAAAUUUUUUUUGUGACAGUGACAUCUGGUGGUUCCUUUUUAAUUCUCAUGAUUUCCCUGUGCUUAGCUGGUUGUUAGAAAUUCCAAAGAAUCACUGUGUGAACUGCUUUGCUUGGCAUUUAACAUUAGCUAGCUAUUGAGGAUCAAGUUAGUCUCACUAAUGUGGCUUGAACUUUGAAAAGCUCUGGUUUCUAUUUGGAUGCAGCUCUUCUCUGAAGAGAACAACAGCCUUCCGUGGAUGAAUGAACAUUUUAUCAUGUGUGAUGGGCAAACAGCUGUCUUGGGAAGGAUUUUUCUUUAAUUCAGAGAACUUAGGAUUUUGAAUAAGGGAUGGUAUCUAUGCCAACCUCUUUGCUUUACUCAUGAGGAGGCUGGAGUACUGAGAAGCAGAGUGUGUUGGCUAAGGUUUCACUCUGUUAGCCAAGGUCUCCCCAUGUUGGCCAAGGUCUCCCCGUGUUGGCCAAGGUCUCCCCGUGUUGGCCAAGGUCUCCCCGUGUUAGGCAAGGUCUCCCCGUGUUAGGCAAUGUCUCCCCGUGUUGGGCAAGGUCUCACCGUGUUGGCCAAGGUCUCACCGUGUUGGCCAAGGUCUCGCCAUGUUGGCCAAGGUCUCAUUGUAUUGGCCAAGGUCUUACCAUUUUAGCCAGGGUCUCACCAUUUUAGCCAGGGUCUCACCAUGUUGGCCAAGUUCUCCCUGUGUUGGCCAAGGUCACCAGCUCCUUGGUGAGAAGAGAUUCCAUAAUUUAUGGGUUUUGUGCCACCAGGGAGAAGUGUGACAUUGGGCUCUUGCUCAGAAAUUAUGUUUUUUAUGCUGGGCAGCCCACUGAGUAAGAAAGGUCUGAGAGUGAAAGGCUAGAGGGCAAAGGCAGCUAACAUUUUCACGACCUAUUUGCUGUAAAUAUUCCCACACCUGGCUUUUCUCUCAUUCAAAA